rnacentral:rRNA from 1 species
ACUGCUCAGUAACACGUGGAUAACCUGCCCUUGGGUCCGGCAUAACCCCGGGAAACUGGGGAUAAUUCCGGAUAACGCACAUAUGCUGGAAUGCUUUAUGCGUAAAAUGGAUUCGUCUGCCCAAGGAUGGGUCUGCGGCCUAUCAGGUAGUAGUGGGUGUAAUGUACCUACUAGCCAACAACGGGUACGGGUUGUGAGAGCAAGAGCCCGGAGAUGGAUUCUGAGACAUGAAUCCAGGCCCUACGGGGCGCAGCAGGCGCGAAAACUUUACAAUGCGGGAAACCGUGAUAAGGGGACACCGAGUGCCAGCGUCAUACGCUGGCUGUCCGGGUGUGUAAAAUACACCUGUUAGCAAGGGCCGGGCAAGACCGGUGCCAGCCGCCGCGGUAACACCGGCGGCCCGAGUGGUGAUCGUGAUUAUUGGGUCUAAAGGGUCCGUAGCCGGUUUGGUCAGUCCUCCGGGAAAUCUGAUAGCUUAACUAUUAGGCUUUCGGGGGAUACUGCCAGACUUGGAACCGGGAGAGGUAAGAGGUACUACAGGGGUAGGAGUGAAAUCUUGUAAUCCCUGUGGGACCACCUGUGGCGAAGGCGUCUUACCAGAACGGGUUCGACGGUGAGGGACGAAAGCUGGGGGCACGAACCGGAUUAGAUACCCGGGUAGUCCCAGCCGUAAACGAUGCUCGCUAGGUGUCAGGCAUGGCGCGACCGUGUCUGGUGCCGCAGGGAAGCCGUGAAGCGAGCCACCUGGGAAGUACGGCCGCAAGGCUGAAACUUAAAGGAAUUGGCGGGGGAGCACA